rnacentral:tRNA from 1 species
UCUCCGUUCAUCUAACGGCUAGGAUAUCGCCCUUUCACGGCGAGUACACGGGUUCGAAUCCCGUACGGAGAACCA